ACGCGAGCUGGGUUCAGACCGUCGUGAGACAGGUCGGUCUCUAUCCGCUGUGGGCGUAAGGGAUUUGAGAGGAGCUGCCCCUAGUACGAGAGGACCGGGGUGGACAGACCGCUGGUUUGCCAGUUGUCGUGCCAACGGCACUGCUGGGUAGCUAUGUCUGGCAGAGAUAACCGCUGAAAGCAUCUAAGUGGGAAACUCGCCUCAAGAUUAGAUCCCUGUUUUCCCGUAAGGGAGUAAGGUCGCAGGUAGACUACCUGCUUGAUAGGCAACAAGUGUAAGCGCAGUAAUGUGUUAAGCUUAGUUGUACUAAUGACCGAGGACUUCUCUG
rnacentral:rRNA from 1 species